rnacentral:lncRNA from 1 species
UUGAUGCAAACACUGAAGAAAAGGGCCUUUUUGUGGGCAGAAAGUGCUUGACAUGUGGCUGUCAACUUCAUACCACUAUUACUGUCUUUUUUGUAACUUUUGCUGCCAAGUCCCUUCUGAGACCUGACAGUGGACAUGCAACUCCAUGUCAGGAUAAUCGGCCUCCAGUGUGCUCAUACAAGUGAGGGAGGAGCAGAGCUACUUCAGUGUUGACAAAAUUUCUGAUCAUGCAGUGUAGAAUCCAGAGCCUCUAAGUGAAUAUUACUUCAGUGUAGAAAAUUUGGAACGAGACUUCUUUCUUCGGGGAAAGAUGGAUGAACAAGGUUUCUUGCCUAUUUCCCUGAUUGCUGGUUUUCAGCGUGUUCAGGCUCUCACUACAAACCUUAAUCUCAUCUUAGAGGCACUGAAGGAUAGCACAGAAGUAGAAAUUGUGGAUGAGAAAAUGAGAAAAAAGAUAGAACCAGAAAAAUGGCCAAUUCCAGGCCCUCCUCCACGCAGUGUGCCACCAACAGACUUCUCUCAACUGAUUGAUUGUCCAGAGUUUGUACCAGGCCAAGCCUUUUGCUCACAUACAGGUAACAUCUUUUCUUCUAGAGCAAACGAUGUAACAGUGGGUUAUUUGGUCCAAUUUACUUACUUAUUUAUUUAUUUUCAGUUUAUUUAGAUUUGAUAGGAAAAUUAAAGCUAACUGAAAGACUUUUGAGUCCCAUUUUGUAUUCAUAUUGCCUCACUCACAGAGUUACAAAUUAAAUAAGGAUUUAAGAAUUAUGAGGAAAGCUGUCUUAUGUUUCUUGUUCUUAAAUUAUAUGUGUACUUUGUCAUGUAUGGAGUUUCUAUCUUUUAUUUUUACUAAAUAACUAUAGAUAUGUAUCGUUUUCCCCUGUAAAAUUGGAAUAGUAUGAUUGGAUUAUUCUAAAAAGGUCUUAUACUCAAGAGUGGGGUAGUCUUCCUUUAAUUUUGUUACCAAUACGCUUUAAUCUUGUCUUGGAAAGAUAAAAUGACCUGCAUUCUAAAUUAGAAUUGGGGUUCUGUUUAAUUUGGUUGUGUUUAGAAUUUCCAAAAGAUUUAAUGUUAAUAAUUUUUUCCUGGAUCAUUUUUAAGACAUUCCCUCUUGGGAAAAAAUGUGUGCUUAAACUUUUUUCAGUCAGGGUGAUGAUCUUCUGAAGCUCUUGGAUGUCAUUUGAUCGGAAUAUGCAGUGGAAUAGGUGACUCACUGAAAUGCCUUUAUAAAUACUGGAACAAAUCCUGCUGCAAAAAUGAAAGCGAUCAGACUGUCUUCUGUUCAAGAAUGUCUAUUCCCACCUCUUGGUGGAGGAAGUUGGGCCAACACUGCAGUGGAGAUAACCACCUUUGCGAUAAUGAGAGACAGACCAGAGGACUGCUACUCUUUUUAUAGGAGCUGCCUAUUUCUGUGUAAUUGGCCUGGGCUGCAUGGGCUGCUUUUAUUCAUGGUGGGAAAGUUAAUUAUUAUUAUUCUGGAAAUACCGCAAGAUUAUGUUUUCUGUUUCCAGGGUUAUGUACUUGUGUCCAGAUGAAUAAAGCAGAAAAAGAGGGGAUUGAGUAGCAUUUCCCAGAUUCUUAAGUACUUUGCUAUUCGAUUUGCCUUUCAGUGUAGUGUACAUUGUAAAACUCAGAUAUUGUCAUGAUGUUUCACUUGGACAUAAGACUUAUUAAUGUGGUCACUUAAGGGGUAAGGAAUUUAAGAACUGGAUGAGGUUAUUUCUUCCUUUACUCUUCAAAAUGUAUUUUUGAUACAUCAGUAUGAGAGGACGUCCCAUCAACAAAGCAUCGAUGAUGGACAGUCUCACACUAUUUUUAUCAUAUGUUUCUUUGUCAGCCUUCUGCUUCUAAUCCCAGUAAGCAACUUGGACAGGCAUUUUAAAAGCUGAAGAAAAGUGACAUUAUUUUAGCUAGUGGUUUUUAAUUUAUUUUUUGUUAAGAUAUAAUGGGUGAUUAUAUAAGUUAGAUUUAUUUAUGAUAUCAACUUGGGUCCAAGAUGAUAGUUUUAGCUAGCUUAUGAACAUUGGGUUCACAAGGCAUUGGGUAAGUUAGAUAAAAUAGCAUAUACUUUCUCUGCAGGGUAGGUAAGAUAGGUCAGUCAAGUUGGUAAUGC